CCCAGUGUUCUAACCCAGCUGCAGUCCCAAAACGGGAUACAUGUGAUAGGACCAUGUGCACCACUACGAUGGUCCUCACCACUAUUGCUGUCAUCCUAUACAGAAAGUUUUCCAACCGAGUCGAACCGCACAAUGUUGAUGAUGCCAAUGAGGUGCCCUACAUGAAGAGCAAUGGAGUCGACCCUAAGAAAUAACAACCCUCACAGCAGAUGUAGCUCUAGUCUACAGUCUACAUGACACGAACUGAAGACAGGUCUUCACCUUGAUGGCUACACAUCUGGUGAGUUCUCUCAAUGCCUGCAUUCUAUGUCUCAAACUUAAAACACCAGAAAUGGAAAAGUACUACUGAAUUACUACUCAUUACUACUACCUGAGAUCUACACAAAACCUACUGGUUUUACUACUUGAUUGCUAUUGAGAUGUGUAGUAAACCAGUAGUGAUUUAUGUAGUAAUUUAAGUAGUAAUGAGGGAUAGAUUGAGACGUUUCACUACUGGUGAACA